AGCAACACGAGUGACAAGUGAGGGGCGCUUAGGAAGCGCCUCAAAUAGGAAACGAUUCAAACUGCCAGUGAGCUCGCGUCGUCUGACAGUGAAACGCGUUUCUUUGUUUGCAGCUGCGUCGAUGUAAUUUUUGGUUAUUUGUUUUUGUCGAUAUGCCAAGAAAUCGUUGAAGGACGACCGCUAAAGCGGCUUGGACCGAAGCAGACCUUAAAGCAGCUAAAACUGCGAUUGAAGGAGGUUCGUCCAAAAUAAAAGCGGCAAAACAAUUUAACAUACCAUUUACUACUUUGAGAGAUCGACUAAAAAAUAACAACUUGAGCAACCCAAAGCUAGGUCGCAAGCCCAUUUUUACCCAACAACAAGAAAAUGAAAUUGCAGAACAAGUUAAGCUUGUUUAUAAAUAUGCUGAGCUCAACAAUAUCAAAAACAAUUUCGAUCAAAACAGCAGGAUUGGAUUGGGUACACGCCUUUAUGAGACGCAAUCCUUCAGUUACCGUACGCAAAGCUGAAGCAACAAGCCUAAAUAGAAUUUCUGCUUUUAGCAAAGAAGAAAUAACACAUUUUUAUGAUACACUUGGCACUUAAUGGAAAAAUAUAAAUUUAUUCCCAACAAUAUAUACAAUUGUGACGAAACUGGUAUCACCACGGUAACAGACCCGGGAAAAGUGCUCGCCGAAAAAGGACAAAGACGAGUAGGAUCAGUUACAAGCGGUGAAUGAGGAAGCAACAUUACGGUUAUGUGUGCUAUGAGUGCAGCUGGUAACUUUAUAUCGCCUAUGUUUAUUUUUGCCAGACGGAGAAUGACGCCUUUAUAAAAAAAAAAGGACCAGUUGGUGCAAUAUACACCAACUCUAAAAAUGGCUGGAUUAACGAAGACCUAUUUGUCACUUGGCUCAAACAUUUUGCUGCAUUCGUUAAGCCUACCCAAGAAUCACCUGUGUUGGUAAUUCUAGACAAUCACAGCUGUCACAUUUCGCUUCAAGCUUUUGAUUUUUGCAAGGAAAACCACAUUACCAUGCUUUCCAUUCCACCACACAGUUCCCACAGAACGCAGCCGCUGGAUGUGUCUUUUUAUGGGCCGUUGAAAGCUGCUUAUGAAUGCAACAGGCACAUGAAGACACAUUUAAUGUCUAAAAUCACCCCAUAAGACGUUGCAGGUCUUUUCAAUAAAGCUUACGCACAAGUUGCUAAUAUUAGUAAAGCAGAAUCUGGAUUUUCAGCCACAGGAAUUUUUCCAUUGAACCCAAAUAUUUUCACUGAUGAAGACUUUCUGGCAGCGUCAUUGAUGUUACAAGAAUCGGAAAAAAUUGCUGGAAACCAAGACCCAAACGUUCAGAAUUUUGAAGAUGUUCAAUCUGUUGAUAUGAUAAUAAUUUCGGGACAUGCAUCUCCAUUACCAGGACCAUCAAAUAAGGACCAAUGCUCUGAAUCUGUUUCAGCAAGUCCUUGUAACAAAAAAACUUGUUGAUGAGCAAAGAACUACGGUAUCCUUUAAUUCUAUAGCAACAACACCAACUAUUGCACCAUCUUCCAAGCCAGCUCAAAGAAAAUGAAAACAACAUGCUACUGUAUUAACUGCGACUC